UACAGAGGUCUCAAGCGUUGUUCGGAUUCAUUGGGCGUAAAGGGUGCGUAGGCGGCGCGGUAAGUCGGGUGUGAAAUCUCGGAGCUUAACUCCGAAACUGCAUUCGAUACUGCCGUGCUUGAGGACUGGAGAGGAGACUGGAAUUUACGGUGUAGCGGUGAAAUGCGUAGAUAUCGUAAGGAACACCAGUGGCGAAGGCGGCUCACUGGACCGGUACUGACGCUGAUGCGCGAAAGCGUGGGGAGCAAACGGG
rnacentral:rRNA from 1 species